rnacentral:rRNA from 1 species
GCUGGCGGCGUGGAUAAGACAUGCAAGUCGAGCGAGAUUUUUCGUUGUAGCAAUACGAUGGAAAGUCUAGCGGCGAACGGGUGCUUAACACGUGGGCAACCUGCCAUGAAGUGGGGGAUAGCUCGCCGAAAGGCGAAUUAAUACCGCAUGUGAUUAGAGAGGACAUCCUUUCGAAAUUAAAGUCGGGGCAACCUGACGCUUCUUGUGGGGCCCGCGGCCUAUCAGCUAGUUGGUGAGGUAACGGCUCACCAAGGCUUUGACGGGUAGCUGGUCUGAGAGGACGACCAGCCACACUGGGACUGAGACACGGCCCAGACACCUACGGGUGGCAGCAGUCGAGAAUUUUUGACAAUGGGGGAAACCCUGAUCGAGCGACGCCGCGUGGAGGAUGAAGGUCUUCGGAUUGUAAACUCCUGUCAUUUGGGAACAAGGUGCACACGUUAACUGCGUGUGCAUUGAUAGUACCAGAAGAGGAAGAGACGGCUAACUCUGUGCCA